rnacentral:pre_miRNA from 1 species
GUGUUCCCUAGAGUUCCCUUAAACAUUUCAUUAAGGACUCAAUUUCUUUUCAACCUUGUUGAAGCGUUUGGGGGAACUCCCGGAAUCAC